GGCCAUUGCUAUCGGGGUCCGAUUUAGCCAUGCUAGUCGCACGAGUUCAUACUCGUGGCGGAAAGCUCAGUAACACGUGGCCAAACUACCCUGUGGACCAGCAUAACCUCGGGAAACUGAGGCUAAUUCUGGAUAACACCCACCUCCUGGAGUGGAGUGGAUGUGAAACGUUCCGGCGCCACAGGAUGUGGCUGCGGCCGAUUAGGUAGACGGUGGGGUAACGGCCCACCGUGCCCAUAAUCGGUACGGGUGAUGAGAGUCAGAGCCCGGAGACGGUAUCUGAGACAAGAUACCGGGCCCUACGGGGCGCAGCAGGCGCGAAACCUUUACACUGCACGAGAGUGCGAUAGGGGGACCCCGAGUGCGAGGGCAUACAGUCCUCGCUUUUCACCACUGUAAGGUGGUGGUGGAAUAAGUGCUGGGCAAGACCGGUGCCAGCCGCCGCGGUAAUACCGGCAGCACGAGUGAUGGCCGAUUUUAUUGGGCCUAAAGCGUCCGUAGCCGGCCAGACAGGUCCAUCGGGAAAUCUGCACGCCCAACGUGCAGGCGUUCGGUGGAAACCACUGGCUUGGGCCGGAAGAUCCAGGGUACGUCCGGGGUAG
rnacentral:rRNA from 1 species